GACGAACGCUGGCGGCGUGCUUAACACAUGCAAGUCGAACGGAAAGGCCCUGCUUUUGUGGGGUGCUCGAGUGGCGAACGGGUGAGUAACACGUGAGUAACCUGCCCUUUACUUUGGGAUAACUUCAGGAAACUGGGGCUAAUACCGGAUAGGAGCUCCUGCUGCAUGGUGGGGGUUGGAAAGUUUCGGCGGUUGGGGAUGGACUCGCGGCUUAUCAGCUUGUUGGUGGGGUAGUGGCUUACCAAGGCUUUGACGGGUAGCCGGCCUGAGAGGGUGACCGGCCACAUUGGGACUGAGAUACGGCCCAGACUCCUACGGGAGGCAGCAGUGGGGAAUAUUGCACAAUGGGCGGAAGCCUGAUGCAGCAACGCCGCGUGCGGGAUGACGGCCUUCGGGUUGUAAACCGCUUUCGCCUGUGACGAAGCGUGAGUGAAGGUAAUGGGUAAAGAAGCACCGGCUAAAUACGUG
rnacentral:rRNA from 1 species